UACGUAGGGGGGCGAGCGUUGUCCGGAUUUAUUGGGCGUAAAGAGCGUGUAGGCGGUUCGGUAAGUCUGUCGUGAAAUCCUGAGGCUCAACCUCGGGUCGUGCAGUCGAUACGGGCAAACUAGAGUAUUGCAGGGGGAGACUGGAAUUCCUGGUGUAGCGGUGAAAUGCGCAGAUAUCAGGAGGAACACCGGUGGCGAAGGCGGGUCUCUGGGCAAUAACUGACGCUGAGGAGCGAAAGCGUGGGGAGCGAACAGG
rnacentral:rRNA from 1 species